rnacentral:rRNA from 1 species
GACGAAGGUGGCAAGCGUUGUUCGGAUUCACUGGGCCUAAAGGGCGCGUAGGCGGCUCCGUAGGUGGCGUGUGAAAGCCCCCGGCUCAACCGGGGAAGUGCGCGCCAAACCACGGUUCUUGAGGGCGGUAGGGGGGACUGGAACUCUCGGUGGAGCGGUGAAAUGCGUAGAUAUCGAGAGGAACACCUGCGGCGAAGGCGGGUUGCUGGGCUGACACUGACGCUGAGGCGCGAAAGCUAGGGGAGCGAACGGG